GGUGUUGUGGGGGAGUAAUCUUCCAGCAAAAGGGUGAAAGGGAGACAGAGCAGAAUCUCCCAGGCUUCACGUCCCUGAUGGCUUUUGGCUCAGCCUGUGUGACUGCCCACCUGUGUCUUCUGCUUUCACAAUGAUGCUGGAGGCUUCCCAUGUGUGCAGGGAACGCAACCGUCGAGAUCUAUCCCAGCAGCAGACGUUGAUGUUUGAGGCAAACUUUUGAGGAUGGAGGAAAGAGUUUUACUGAUGCUGGGACAACUGAUCAGGAGUAAGAUAAACUUGCAGCCUCCGUGCCACCCCGCAGCAAGGAGUCCUGCAGUUUAGCCCCACGUUCAAAGUCUGCGACCCACGAGAGUGUUCCGCAGCUGGAAGGAGGAGAUGAGGUGCAGCCGGGGACUGUGGCACAGGAGAGCGUGGUAGCUGCUCUGCAGCACGUGGUGAUGCUGCCCUGAAAUCCAGGCCCUGCCGGGAAGCAGAGGAGCACAGCGGUCAAGAAAAGAAACACCA